GACAGAGGGUGCAAACGUUGUUCGGAAUUACUGGGCGUAAAGCGCGUGUAGGCGGCCCUGCAAGUCGGGUGUGAAAUCCCACGGCUCAACCGUGGAAGUGCAUUCGAAACUGCAGGGCUAGAGUCCUGGAGAGGAAGGUGGAAUGCUUGGUGUAGAGGUGAAAUUCGUAGAUAUCAAGCGGAACACCGGUGGCGAAGGCGGCCUUCUGGACAGUGACUGACGCUGAGACGCGAAAGCGUGGGGAGCAACAGGG
rnacentral:rRNA from 1 species